rnacentral:rRNA from 1 species
AUUGAACGCUGGCGGCAGGCCUAACACAUGCAAGUCGAACGAGAGGCGGACGGGUGAGUAAUGUCUGGGAAACUGCCUGAUGGAGGGGGAUAACUACUGGAAACGGUAGCUAAUACCGCAUACCAUCAGAUGUGCCCAGAUGGGAAUAGCUUGUUGGUGGGGUAACGGCUCACCAAGGCGACGAUCCCUAGCUGGUCUGAGAGGAUGUGCAGCCACACUGGACCUGAGACACGGUCCAGACUUCUGCGAGAGAGCGCAGUGGGAAUUAUUGCACAAUGGUCUAAAGCCUGAGGCAGCCAUGCCGCGUGUAUGAAGAAGGCCUUCGGGUUGUAAAGUACUUUCAGCUGUGAGGCUUUACCCGCAGAGGAAGCUCCGGCUAACUCCGUGCCAGCCGCCGCGGUAAUUC